rnacentral:rRNA from 1 species
GUCGAGAAUAAUUCACAAUGGACGAAAGUCUGAUGGUGCAACGCCGCGUGGAGGAUGAAGGUCUUCGGAUUGUAAACUCCUGUCAUCGGGGAGUAAGACCUGGCGGUAAAUAGCCGACAGGGUUGAUAGUACCCGAAGAGGAAGGGACGGCUAACUUCGUGCCAGCAGCCGCGGUAAUACGAAGGUCCCAAGCGUUGUUCGGAAUCACUGGGCGUAAAGGGAGCGUAGGCGGCGUGGUAAGUCAGAUGUGAAAUCCCGGGGCUCAACCCCGGAACUGCAUCCGGUACUGCCAUGCUUGAGGGUUGGAGAGGUAGCUGGAAUUCUCGGUGUAGCAGUGAAAUGCGUGGAUAUCGAGAGGAACACUCGUGGCGAAGGCGAGCUACUGGACAACAUCUGACGCUGAGGCUCGAAGGCCAGGGGAGCAAAAGGGAUUAGAAACCCCUGUAGUCC